ACGAACGCUGGCGGCGUGCUUAACACAUGCAAGUCGAACGGUAAGGCCUUCGGGUACACGAGUGGCGAACGGGUGAGUAACACGUGGGUGAUCUGCCCUGCACUUUGGGAUAAGCCUGGGAAACUGGGUCUAAUACCGGAUAGGACCACGCGCUUCAUGGUGUGUGGUGGAAAGCUUUUGCGGUGUGGGAUGGGCCCGCGGCCUAUCAGCUUGUUGGUGGGGUAAUGGCCUACCAAGGCGACGACGGGUAGCCGGCCUGAGAGGGUGACCGGCCACACUGGGACUGAGAUACGGCCCAGACUCCUACGGGAGGCAGCAGUGGGGAAUAUUGCACAAUGGGCGCAAGCCUGAUGCAGCGACGCCGCGUGAGGGAUGACGGCCUUCGGGUUGUAAACCUCUUUCAGUAGGGACGAAGCGCAAGUGACGGUACCUAUAGAAGAAGGACCGGCCAACUACGUGCCAGCAGCCGCGGUAAUACGUAGGGUCCGAGCGUUGUCCGGAAUUACUGGGCGUAAAGAGCUCGUAGGUGGUUUGUCGCGUUGUUCGUGAAAACUCACAGCUCAACUGUGGGCGUGCGGGCGAUACGGGCAGACUGGAGUACUGCAGGGGAGACUGGAAUUCCUGGUGUAGCGGUGGAAUGCGCAGAUAUCAGGAGGAACACCGGUGGCGAAGGCGGGUCUCUGGGCAGUAACUGACGCUGAGGAGCGAAAGCGUGGGGAGCGAACAGGAUUAGAUACCCUGGUAGUCCACGCCGUAAACGGUGGGUACUAGGUGUGGGUUUCCUUCCUUGGGAUCCGUGCCGUAGCUAA
rnacentral:rRNA from 1 species